UGUCCCACGGGACUAGUUGGUCACGGGUGUCCGACUUUUAUUCCACCAAAAGCAACACUACGUAACAUCGGAAGAUUGAGAGUUCGAGUCUCUCUGGGACAG